rnacentral:rRNA from 1 species
ACGAACGCUGGCGGCAGGCCUAACACAUGCAAGUCGAACGUGAAGCCAGGCUUCGGCCUGGUGGAAAGUGGCAGACGGGUGAGUAACGCGUGGGAAUUUACCCAGUGGUACGGAAUAACUUCGGGAAACCGGAGCUAAUACCGUAUACGCCCUUCGGGGGAAAGAUUUAUCGCCAUUGGAUGAGCCCGCGUCGGAUUNNCUUGUUGGUGGGGUAAAAGCCUACCAAGGCGACGAUCCGUAGCUGGUCUGAGAGGAUGAUCAGCCACACUGGGACUGAGACACGGG